rnacentral:rRNA from 1 species
GCACGGGUGCGUAACACGUAUGUAACCUACCUUCACCAGGGGAUAGCUCUCGAAAGAGAGAUUAAAGACCGCAUAACAUUACGAUGCAGCAUUGCAAUGUAAUCAAAUAUUUAUAGGGUGAAGAUGGGCAUGCGGAACAUUAGCUAGUUGGUAAGGUAACGGCUUACCAGCUACGAUGUUUAGGGGAUC